UCUAGGGGAGGCAGCAGUGGGGAAUAUUGCACAAUGGGCGCAAGCCUGAUGCAGCCAUGCCGCGUGUAUGAAGAAGGCCUUCGGGUUGUAAAGUACUUUCAGCGGGGAGGAAGGUGUUGAGGUUAAUAACCUCAGCAAUUGACGUUACCCGCAGAAGAAGCACCGGCUAACCCCGUGCCAGCAGCCGCGGUAAU
rnacentral:rRNA from 1 species